GACGAACGCUGGCGGCGUGCCUAAUACAUGCAAGUCGAACGCAGUGGGGACGGGUGAGUAACACGUGGGUAACCUCCCAUCAGAGGGGAUAAAACUUGGAAACAGGUGCUAAACCGAUACUGAUGGAUGGACCCGCGGUGCAUUAGCUAGUUGGUGAGGUAACGGCUCACCAAGGCCACGAUGCAUAGCCGAUCUGAGAGGAGGAUGUGCAAAACUGGAAUUGAGACAAGGCCCAGACUCCUACGGGAGGCAGCAGUGGGGAAUCUUCGGCAAUGGACGAAAGUCUGACCGAGCAACGCAGCGUGGGUGAAGAAGGUUUUCGGAUCGUAAAGCUCUGUUGUUAGAGAAGCGUUAUCUGACGAGAAAGCCACGGCUAACCACGUGCCAGCAGCCGCGGUAAUUC
rnacentral:rRNA from 1 species